rfam:Medicago truncatula strain A17 chromosome 5, whole genome shotgun sequence.
AUAUAAGCAAAAUUGACUUUUUUGGUUCAUUCAUUUAAUGAUGUAUAUGAUCCAUAUUAUGAACCACAUACAUCAUUAAAUGAAUGAACCUAAAAAAUUAAUUUUGCUUAUAU